rnacentral:misc_RNA from 1 species
UCCCUGUUACCAGGGCAGUCUAGCUAGAAAAAUACAACUAACUAUAAGGGUUGCGCUCGUUGAAGGACUUAACCUAACAUCUCACGACACGAGCUGACGACGGCCAUGCAUCACCUGUCACUGAAUUCCCGAAGGCACAGUCUCCUUUCGGAGACCUUCUCAGGAUGUCAAGCCUGGGUAAGGUUCUUCGCUUACCAUCGAAUUAAACAACACGCUCCACCGCUUGUGCGGGUCCCCGUCAAUUCCUUUAUGUUUUAGUCUUGCGACCGUACUCCACAGGCGGGAUGCUUAACGCGUUAGCUUCGCUACAAGCCGGGUCGAUACGGCUUACAGCUAGCAUCCAUAGUUUACGGCGUGGACUAC